rnacentral:tRNA from 1 species
AUCCAAAGCUAGCUCAGUUGGUAGAGCAUGAGACUCUUAAUCUUAGAGUUGGGGGUUCGAGCCCCAUAUUGGACA